UAGGGAAUCUUCCGCAAUGGACGCAAGUCUGACGGAGCAACGCCGCGUGAGUGAAGAAGGAUUUCGGUUCGUAAAACUCUGUUGUUAGAGAAGAACAGCGCAUAGAGUAACUGUUAUGCGUGUGACGGUAUCUAACCAGAAAGCCACGGCUAACUACGUGCCAGCAGCCGCGGUAAUACGUAGGUGGCAAGCGUUGUCCGGAUUUAUUGGGCGUAAAGCGAGCGCAGGCGGUCAAUUAAGUCUGAUGUGAAAGCCCCCGGCUCAACCGGGGAGGGUCAUUGGAAACUGGUUGACUUGAGUGCAGAAGAGGAGAGUGGAAUUCCAUGUGUAGCGGUGAAAUGCGUGGAUAUAUGGAGGAACACCAGUGGCGAAGGCGACUCUCUGGUCUGUAACUGACGCUGAGGUUCGAAAGCGUGGGUAGCAAACAGG
rnacentral:rRNA from 1 species